UACGGGGGGGGCAAGCGUUGUUCGGAAUUACUGGGCGUAAAGGGCUCGUAGGCGGCCAACUAAGUCCGACGUGAAAUCCCCAGGCUUAACCUUGGAACUGCGUCGGAUACUGGAUGGCUUGAAUUCGGGAGAGGGAUGCAGAAUUCCAGGUGUAGCGGUGAAAUGCGUAGAUAUCUGGAGGAAUACCGGUGGCGAAGGCGGCAUCCUGGACCGACAUUGACGCUGAUGAGCGAAAGCUAGGGGAGCAAACGGG
rnacentral:rRNA from 1 species